GACGAACGCUGGCGGCGUGCUUAACACAUGCAAGUCGAACGGAAAGGCCCUGCUUUUGUGGGGUGCUCGAGUGGCGAACGGGUGAGUAACACGUGAGUAACCUGCCCUUGACUUUGGGAUAACUUCAGGAAACUGGGGCUAAUACCGGAUAGGAGCUCCUGCUGCAUGGUGGGGGUUGGAAAGUUUCGGCGGUUGGGGAUGGACUCGCGGCUUAUCAGCUUGUUGGUGGGGUAGUGGCUUACCAAGGCUUUGACGGGUAGCCGGCCUGAGAGGGUGACCGGCCAGAUUGGGACUGAGAUACGGCCCAGACUCGUACGGGAGGCAGCAGUGGGGAAUAGUGCACAAUGGGCGGAAGGCUGAUGCAGCAACGCCGCGUGCGGGAUGACGGCCUUCGGGUUGUAAACCGAUUUCGCCUGUGACGAAGCGUGAGUGACGGUAAUGGGUAAAGAAGCACCGGCUAACUACGUG
rnacentral:rRNA from 1 species